GUGAACGCUGGCGGCGUGCCUAACACAUGCAAGUCGAGCGGGGUUACUGCCGUAGCAAUACGGUGUGUGCCCAGCAGCAGACGGGUGAGUAACACGUAGACAAUCUACCUCAUAGCGGGGGAUAGCUCGCCGAAAGGCGAGGGUAAUACCGCGUAAGAUCAUAGACCGGCAUCGGUUUAUGAUGAAACGUCCGCAAGGAGGCUAAGAGAGGGGUCUGCGGCCUAUCAGCUAGUUGGUGAGGUAACGGCUCACCAAGGGCAACGACGGGUAUCCGACCUGAAAGGGUGACCGGACACACUGACACUGAGACACGGGUCAGACUCCUACGGGAGGCAGCAGUGAGGAAUUUGGACAAUGGGGGAAACCCUGAUCCAGCGACGCCGCGUGAAGGAUGAAGGUCUUCGGAUUGUAAACUUCUUUUGUUUGGGACUAAGAUACUCAGGGAAACUUGGGGAGUGAAGGUACCAGAUGAAUAAGCCACGGCUAACUUCGGUGCCAGCAGCCGCGGUAAUACGAAGGUGGCAAGCGUUUACUCGGAAUUACUAGGCGUAAGGGCAGGUAGGUGGUUUGGUUAGUCUGUUGUGAAAGCUCCCGGCUUAACUGGGAGAGGUCAACGGAUACUGCCAGACUUGAGUAUAGGAGAGGGUACUGGAAUUCCCCGGGUGUAGCGGUGAAAUGCGCAGAGAUCGGGAGGAACACCGAUGGCGAAAGCAGGUACCUGGACUAUUACUGACACUCAGCUGCGAAAGCUAGGGGAGCAAACAGGAUUAGAUACCCUGGUAGUCCUAGCCGUAAACGAUGCACAUUAGGCGUGAGGGGUAUCGACCCCCUUCGUGCCGACGCAAACGCAUUAAAUGUGCCGCCUGGGGAGUACGGCCGCAAGGCUGAAACUCAAAGGAAUUGACGGGGGCCCGCACAAGCGUGGGAGCAUGUGGUUCAAUUCGACGCAACGCGAACAAACUUUACCUGGGUUGAAUGGAAGUCAGUCGAACUCGGGGCUGAAAGUCGGAACACCUGUCACCUCAGGGACGCUAGGUUAGAGGUGCUGCAUGGCUGUCGUCAGCUCGUGUCGUGAGAUGUUGGGUUAAGUCCCGCAACGAGCGCAACCCUACCCUAUGUUGCCACGGUCCGUCAGGCCAGGCACUCUAGUGGGAACUGCCUCGGACAACGGGGAGGAAGGUGGGGAUGACGUCAAGUCACUCAUGGCCUCUAUGUCCAGGGCUACACACGUGCUACAAUGGCCGGUACAAACGCGCAUGCAAAUCCGCAAGGCUGGAGCAAAUCUAUAAAGCCGGUCUCAGUUCAGGAUUGGGGCUGCAACUCGACCCCGUGAAGGCUGGAAUCGCUAGUAAUCGCGGAUCAGCAUGGCCCGGUGAAUACGUUCCCGGGCCUUGUACACACCGCCCGUCACAUCACGAAAGUCGGCUGUAACCAGAGUCGGUAAUUCUAACCCGCAAGGGAGGAUAGCCGCCUAAGGUAUGGUCGGUAAUGUUGGGG
rnacentral:rRNA from 1 species